rnacentral:pre_miRNA from 18 species
AACCGUACGGGAUAAUCAUUUUCCCGUGCAGUCGGGUUAAGUGGACCGCACGGGAUAAUCGAUUAUCCCGUGCGGUC